GACUUUGAGCAGCAGCAAGGGCGACAGUCACUGUUCGUGGGGGAAGGUGGGCCAGAGAAAGCAUGCAUCACCCAGAGGGCCCCUGUGAGCCCAGCCCCUGUGCCCUGGCUGGACCCUUCUUCGGCUGGUGGGGGAGGCGCUCUGCACCGCUCAGGUGAGAGAAGCGCCCUGGCCAGACUGACUCGGAACCUGAAAUGCUGUCCUCCUCCUCUGGCUCGCCCAGUGACCCUGGCCUCCUCCCCAAGUCCGUGGGAAUCAGAAGAGGCCAGCAGACUAGACCACCUCCUUCCAGGACAUCUAGCCUGUCUGUCCCUGCCCAGCCCUUUCUUCUGUCUCCUGAGGAAAGGAGACUGCUGUGCCAUGCCUGGAAGUGAUGCCCCAGGACGUGUGCAAUUCUAGUACAACACACACACACACACACACACACACACACACACACACACACACACACUUUGCUGAAGCCGCUCUGAGGAUUUUAACUUUUUUUGGAAAUUGGGAGGAGCUGAGCUGGGAAGAAAGGAUCCGAAUGCCAGGGGUCUAUUUUGGGCACCAGGAAAUCAGUCUCUAGGGAUCUCCGAGCGCUGACAAAACUGUAGUCACCAGGCUCGGGCAGCUUUGGCCCCAACGCCACGGCGGCCCCGGACCCCCCUCUGCAGGUGAGAAGAGAAUGGUGUGGGACGAUGCUGAGGACACAGCACGAAGAUGAGCGGCAGGGACGGUCUGCAGAGUACGAUCUUUCUCCUAUCAUGUCUCAAGUCCUUUUUAAGAACCAACUCUACGGUGGUCAGCCUGGGACGAUGUGGUAAGGAUGGAGACGACAGGUAGGCAUAGGGCUGCACGGCCGCAGUCCACCCACAGGACCAAGACUAACAUGGGCCUGGCGCUGGGCACAUGGGCACGGGAGCUGAAGGUCGGGAAGGCCCAGGACAGGUGGCCAUCUGCAAGAGUCAAAUGCAUUCAUUUUCCAGUUGGCUCAUGGUGGCCUAGGGGAGGCUGCAGUACCCAUGGUGUGGGCACCAGAAGAUGAGAGCAGCCUCAGGAGGGUGUAGUGGCCUAGGAAUGUGGUGGAUGCUAAGCGUUUUUGGUACCCAUCGCUGCCACAGAGGAGGACUUACUGGUAGAGAAGCUCCCAGAACAGGGUCUGCCCUGCUCGAUGACCGGGAUCUUGGUGGAGGUACUGCAGGUGACUCAGGCACCUACCUGACAUUGGCUCAAGUGCCAGGGCAAGCACAGCAAAGGAACCCUCAGGAAAAGUCUGCCGGCACGGCCUGAGGCCUCCCGCAGGGAGGGGUGGCAGUACUGCUCUCUGACAGGUAAGAGUGGGACUGGAGCCACAAAGAGUAGCUGGAGGCCCUGGACGGCCAGGACCAGGGCCAGACACGGUGUCCUUACAGGAUGUCACCAUCCGUGCUUCUGAAGGAGGAAUUCUUACAGAGCGGGGAUCAAGUCAGAGUCAAAGUCAGGACAGGGCUACUUGCUCCUCUCUCCAAUGUGUCCAACAGACUAAGCAGCAGUGGGUACCCUCGCCGGGCCAGAACCUAGUGGCAGAAGAAGUUGGCAUGUAUUAACCAGAGCAAACAACCACCUGGAAUUCAGGGCAAACUCCCUAAUUCUACAAAGGUAAAAACCUCUGGACGCCAUUCUAUGAGGAUAUAAACUCUUCACUAAUGAAGGUAGUUUAUAUAGUUCGUCGGUGUCUCUUAUUUAUUAUUUUUGGUAGUGGUACUGAGGACUGGGCCAAGGUAUUCCCACUGGGCUAUAUCCCCAGCCCUUGGUUGUUUUUAUUUUGAGGUAAGGGCUGACUAAGUCACUAAGUCACCCAAGCAGGGUCCCAACUUGCAGUCCUCUUGCCUCAGAGCACUGGGAUUAAGGGCGAGCUAGCAAGCCUGGCCUGGUCCUUCACGUACUGCUGCCGCCUUUCCCUUUACAUACCUCGUCCUUCUUCCUACUGUGUUAAUAAUCACUAUCUUCAUCUCUUCCAAAAUGAUGUUUUAUUCCUAUGAUGGAAUUAUAUGUAUGUUUCCAUAUACAAGCAUUUAAUAACAUGCUUUUAGUCUACAGAUGAGAAAAUCGUUACCUGGUAGCUGCUCCUUGAGCGUCGUAAGGUGGCAUGGUGUGAAUUCAGCUGACUCCCCUCCACAUUUGCAAUCGGAACCAUCUCAGAGCUUAUCUUUCUUCUUCUCCUUCUUUUCUUGCAAACCUAUGCCCUUGUGUAUGCUAGGGGAGCUCCCUACCACUGAGCUGCACCCCCAGCUCAUCUUUCUUUGGAACAGAUACAAUAACCUGCAUGUUUGAACCUGUUUUCAACGACUGCCAUUUCUAGGAAAGGUAUCCCGCCCCAUUGGGGCUUAGCAGCUAGAAGCCACCAAUGCUGCAUUCAAACUGCCAGGUCAUGGCAUAAGGCACUCAGAAAUAUUAUCAAGCUCCUCUUUCUUAAUUUUUGCCCCAACGCCAGGCUUGAAACUGUCACAGUUAGGGAUUAACUUGCCAUUUUCAUAGGACCUCUCCUUUCAUUGCUAAUCCAGAUCUGCCCCCACUAUCUCCCUUGGUCCUCACCUGCACCUGAAGGUUGUGUCCGGACGUGCUGUUGACAUCUCUGCCUACUCGUCUCCUCGGGUGGUGGUUUGAGUGUUCCACAACAAAAGCAGCAGCAGCAGCAACAGCAGCAGCAAGUGAGCAGUGUGCACAGGAUGACAAGUGUCUGUAGGUGGCAGAGAAGCCUCCGUCCAACUCUGCUCCUGUAUUUCCAUUCAUGAUCCCUCCCUCCCUCCCUCCUCACACCCAGAGAAUCUGUCCUAGGGACCAGGAGAGCUGUGUACCUUGAACCAGCAACUAUUGGCUAUAAAAUAGUAUCUAACUCCA